rnacentral:rRNA from 1 species
UGACCGCUGGCGGCGUGCCUACUACAUGCAAGUCGAGCGACCAGAUAAGGAGCUUGCUCCUUUGACGUUAGCGGCGGACGGGUGAGUAGCACGUGGGUAACCUACCUAUAAGACUGGGAUAACUUCGGGAAACCGGAGCUAAUACCGGAUAAUAUUUCGAACCGCAUGGCUCGAUAGUGAAAGAUGGUUUUGCUAUCACUUAUAGAUGGACCCGCGCCGUAUUAGCUAGUUGGUAAGGUAACGGCUUACCAAGGCGACGAUACGUAGCCGACCUGAGAGGGUGAUCGGCCACACUGGAACUGAGACACGGUCCAGACUCCUACGGGAGGCAGCAGUAGGGAAUCUUCCGCAAUGGGCGAAAGCCUGACGGAGCAACGCCGCGUGAGUGAUGAAGGUCUUCGGAUCGUAAAACUCUGUUAUUAGGGAAGAACAUACGUGUAAGUAACUGUGCACGUCUUGACGGUACCUAAUCAGAAAGCCACGGCUAACUACGUG